rnacentral:lncRNA from 1 species
AUUUCUUUUUUGCUCUUGUUCUUUCGCUGGCUUCAAUCAUUGGAGUGCGGCCAUGCUGGUGUACCACCUCCAAGAGUUGAGUAGGUUAUAUCGACUUCAGUACUUAUCUCAGCCAGGUACUUUUUCGAAUCGUUAAGUAACAGUUUUGACAUAAAGAAACGGAUUUCGACACCAGUAAACAAACACGGAUAUAAACACAUAGACGCUUCCACACACAACCGAUUUUUAUACAACUAUUCAUCUACCAAAUUCCAUACUUGCAAAACACAAGGGAAUUCUAGGUACUGCACAAAAAAAAAAAACCCAAAAAAAAACAAAACAAAAAAAAUAGAAGCAAAACUUCGAACGUCGAAGCGUACGGUUGCAAAGUAUACUUCUUAAUCAUAUAUAUAUAUAACAUUUCAAAAGAAAAAUUAAUGAAAGGAACGUUUUAAAAGCAGGUCUAAGUAUAUUAAUUUUCCUUUUUUAUUUCUUUAAAGUUUCUAUUAACGAUAUUUAUGAAAUGAUGCUAAUUUUUAAAAGACAAAUAUGUUUCUUUAUAAAUUAUAUUCUGUUGUAUUCUUUAUAAAUUAUAAACUGUUAUAUUCUUUAUAAAUUAUAUACUGUACAUAGCUGUGUCCACACUUUUAAUGACUAUCGUAUUCGAAAUAUUUACCGACAUUAUUUUUCCAAUUGAUUUGCCUUUGAAUGGGACGAUUUUCAUUUGUUCUUUCUUUCUUUCUUUUUUUCUUGUUUACUUCCUACAGUAUUUCAAAAUGUGUCUGGUUACGGAGAAAUGACCGGUUACGAUAAUGUUUUAUUUCCUGUUUAAAAAAGUACAUGUAAAACUUGUUUCUAAAAAAAAAAAAUGCUGAAUGAAUUGCUUUUAUCGACACUAAUUG